UACGAAGGGAGCUAGCGUUGUUCGGAAUCACUGGGCGUAAAGCGCACGUAGGCGGAUGUGUCAGUCAGGGGUGAAAUCCCGGAGCUCAACUUCGGAACUGCCCUUGAUACAGCACAUCUUGAGUCCGGAAGAGGUGGGUGGAAUUCCUAGUGUAGAGGUGAAAUUCGUAGAUAUUAGGAAGAACACCGGUGGCGAAGGCGGCCCGACUGGUCCGGUACUGACGCUGAGGUGCGAAAGCGUGGGGAGCAAACAGG
rnacentral:rRNA from 1 species